AUUUUUCAUGAUACAAUAACCUGCAGUAUAACAUGUGCAUGGCUUCUAUUCAGAAGGGAAAAAAAGCAACUCUCUAACAAUGGGUUUAAUUCUUAAAGGAAUGUGUUCAUCUCUGUGCUAUUUCCCUCUACGUGGAAAAAGGACUGUAGGCAUACUUUUCUGAGUGAAUGUGGUGAGCCAGCUCAUGUUCCUGCAGUGGUUUCUUUGCAGGAGAGUAGGUGUGUUUCCUUAAGGAUGGGUUCAACUUCCACUUUGGGGAAGACACAGUUUCUGUUUUCUGGCAGAGGUGAGUCUUUGGUAGACUCAAUAUAGUCAUUCUUGUUUUUAUAACA
rnacentral:lncRNA from 1 species